rnacentral:rRNA from 4 species
UGGGGAAUAUUGCACAAUGGGCGAAAGCCUGAUGCAGCGACGCCGCGUGAGGGAUGACGGCCUUCGGGUUGUAAACCUCUUUCAGCAGGGACGAAGCGCAAGUGACGGUACCUGCAGAAGAAGCACCGGCUAACUACGUGCCAGCAGCCGCGGUAAUACGUAGGGUGCAAGCGUUGUCCGGAAUUACUGGGCGUAAAGAGUUCGUAGGCGGUUUGUCGCGUCGUUUGUGAAAACCAGCAGCUCAACUGCUGGCUUGCAGGCGAUACGGGCAGACUUGAGUACUGCAGGGGAGACUGGAAUUCCUGGUGUAGCGGUGAAAUGCGCAGAUAUCAGGAGGAACACCGGUGGCGAAGGCGGGUCUCUGGGCAGUAACUGACGCUGAGGAACGAAAGCGUGGGUAGCGAACA